AAAAACUCCGGUGGUGUGAGAUGGAUCCGCGUCUGAUUAGCCAGUUGGCGGGGUAACGGCCCACCAAAGCGACGAUCAGUAGCCGGCCUGAGAGGGUGACCGGCCACAUUGGGACUGAGACACGGCCCAAACUCCUACGGGAGGCAGCAGUGGGGAAUAUUGCACAAUGGGCGAAAGCCUGAUGCAGCGACGCCGCGUGAGUGAAGAAGUAUUUCGGUAUGUAAAGCUCUAUCAGCAGGGAAGAAAAUGACGGUACCUGACUAAGAAGCCCCGGCUAACUACGUGCCAGCAGCCGCGGUAAUACGUAGGGGGCAAGCGUUAUCCGGAUUUACUGGGUGUAAAGGGAGCGUAGACGGCGAAGCAAGUCUGAAGUGAAAACCCAGGGCUCAACCCUGGGACUGCUUUGGAAACUGUUUUGCUGGAGUGUCGGAGAGGUAAGUGGAAUUCCUAGUGUAGCGGUGAAAUGCGUAGAUAUUAGGAGGAACACCAGUGGCGAAGGCGGCUUACUGGACGAUAACUGACGUUGAGGCUCGAAAGCGUGGGGAGCAAACAGGAUUAGAUACCCUGGUAGUCCACGCCGUAAACAAUGAAUGCUAGGUGUUGGGGGGCAAAGCCCUUCG
rnacentral:rRNA from 1 species